rnacentral:rRNA from 1 species
UUUGAAAUCUGGCGCAAAGCCCGAGUUGUAAUUUGUAGAGGAUGCUUCUGGCCAGCGGCCGUUCUAAGUUCCUUGGAACAGGACGUCAUAGAGGGUGAGAAUCCCGUAUGUGACCGGCGCGCAGCCUUUACGUAGCUCCUUCGACGAGUCGAGUUGUUUGGGAAUGCAGCUCUAAAUGGGAGGUAAAUUUCUUCUAAAGCUAAAUACCGGCCAGAGACCGAUAGCGCACAAGUAGAGUGAUCGAAAGAUGAAAAGCACUUUGGAAAGAGAGUUAAAAAGCACGUGAAAUUGUUGAAAGGGAAGCGCUUGCAACCAGACUUCGUAGCGAUGUUCCGCUGGUCUUCUGACCGGUCUACUCAUCGUCGCGAGGCCAACAUCGUCUGGGCCCGCUGGAUAAGACCUAAGGAAUGUGGCUUCCCUCGGGAAGUGUUAUAGCCUGUGGUGAUGCAGCGCGGCUCGGGCGAGGUCCGCGCUUCGGCAAGGAUGUUGGCGUAAUGGUUGUCAGCGGCCCGUCUUGAAACACGGACCAAGGAGUCUAACAUCUAUGCGAGUGUUCGGGUGUCAAACCCCUACGCGUAAUGAAAGUGAACGGAGGUGGGAAGCGUAAGCUGCACCAUCGACCGAUCCUGAUGUCCUCGGAUGGAUUUGAGUAAGAGCAUAGCUGUUGGGACCCGAAAGAUGGUGAACUAUGCCUGAAUAGGGUGAAGCCAGAGGAAACUCUGGUGGAGGCUCGCA